AGGAUCAUUAACAAAUUACAACGUUUGUUGAAACACACUCUGCGUAUCUUUACAUGUUGCUUCCCCCCGUCGGGCUCGUUCCGGGCGGGGGGGAGGGAGCCCCAAACUCUUGCAAUCGAAGGAAUCGGUCUGAAGGAAAACCUGUUUGUAUUCAAACGUUUUAAAACUUUCAACAACGGAUCUCUUGGUUCUCCCAUCGAUGAAGAACGCAGCGAAAUGCGAUAAGUAGUGUGAAUUGCAGAAUUCAGUGAAUCAUCGAAUCUUUGAACGCACAUUGCGCCCUCCGGUAUUCCGGNGGGCAUGCCUGUUCGAGCGUCAUCAAAACCACUCAGGUUGAUGUUUUUCGAAACCCCAGCNUGGUCUUGGGCGCGAGGGAUCAGAACCCUCUGCCUGCAAUGCAGUGGCGGAUNUNCCGGCCUGGCAAGAGCGUGAUAAACACGUCGUUCGCGAUUGGAGGCCGGAAUGCACAGCCAUAAUGAACCCCCAAAUCUAUUUUAAAGUUUGACCUCGGAUCAGGUAGGGAUACCCGCUGAACUUAAGCAUAUCAAUAAGCGGAGGAAAAGAAACCAACAGGGAUUGCCUUAGUAACUGCGAGUGAAGCGGCAAAAGCUCAAAUUUGAAAUCUGUGCCCUUCCGGGCACCGAGUUGUAAUCUUGAGAUACGUUUUCGACCGACAGGCCUGCCUUAAGUUCCUUGGAACAGGGCGUCACAGAGGGUGAGAAUCCCGUGAAGGGUAGGCCUCGAGGCGCAUGAUACGUAUUCGACGAGUCGAGUUGUUUGGGAAUGCAGCUCAAAAUGGGUGGUAAAUUUCAUCUAAAGCUAAAUAUUGGGGAGAGACCGAUAGCGCACAAGUAGAGUGAUCGAAAGAUGAAAAGCACUUUGAAAAGAGAGUUAAAAAGUACGUGAAAUUGUUGAAAGGGAAGCGCUUGAGACCAGACUCAAUCUCCGUUGAUCAACUUCAGUUCUCUGUUGUGCACUCAUCGGCCUUUGGGACAGCAUCGGUUCCCNCGGAGGGACAAAGCCUCAGGAAAUGUGGCACCC
rnacentral:rRNA from 1 species